ACUCCAAGGCCUUGCAGCUCGAAUCUUCUAGACGGGGGAAGGCGCCUCGCCCUUCCGGAAGCAUUCUGCUUCUCAACGCCCUGACCUUUCAUGUUAGCAGGUGGUGGACAGCAGCAGGGGAACUGAGUGCUCAGGUAGGGCUCUUCUCACCCCAAUUAAGAAGGAGGCAGAAUGGCAAUUUAAGUGUCAUUGAGUGGAAAUAUCAGAAGUACAUAGGGUACUGAGAACUUCGUAGACAGAAAGAAAAGGAAAAGUAGAAGAAGAUCUGAGAAGAGCCUUGAAAAUGAAGAUGAAGUUAAAAUGAGGCUCUAAGAGUGGGCCUUAAUCCAAUGUCACUGGUGACUGUGUGAGAAGAAGAAAUUUGGACAUACAAAGGGACACCAGAAGUAUCUGCUGCAAGAAAAGACCACAUGAAGACACCAUGAAAAGACAGGCAUCUGCAGCCAUUAGGAAAGGCUUCAGAAGAAACCAAACCAAUUGAUGGUUCAGUCGCUCAGUCGUGUCCGACUCUCUGCAACCCCAUGGACUGCAGCACGCCAGGGCUUCCCUGUCCAUCACCAACUCCCGGAGCUUGCUCAAACUCAUGUCCAUCGAGUUGGUGAUGCCAUCCAACCAUCUCAUCCUCAACCAAUUGACACCUUGACCUUAAACUUCCCACCGCUGCAACUGUGAGAAAGUAAAUUCUGUUUUUUAAGCCAUUAGUCUGUGGUAUUUGUUAUGGCAGUUCUAGCAAGCUAAUGUAGCCUCUUGUAGCAAGUACCGGGGACUUCCCUGGUGGUCCAGCAGCUAAGACUCUGCUCUCAAUGCAGGGGGACUGGGUUCAACCCCUGGUUGGGGAACUGGAUCCUGCAUGCUGCAACUAACGGUUCGUAUGCCACAACUAAGAGUUUGUAUUCCACAACUAAAGAUCCUGAAUGUUGCAAUGAAGAUCAAAGAUCCUAGGUGCUGCAACUAAGACCCAGUGCAGCCAAAUUAAAAAAAGAAAAGUACUGAUACUUUAAUGCCCAAAUAUGUUCAAGUCAGAGCAAAUGUAUGAAAUAGUUCUGCAGUAUGCUGACUAAAGUACAGUUGGCCCUUGAACAACACCGGGUUUAGGAGAACUGACCCUCUGUGUAGCUGAAAGUCCAAAUAUAAUUUAUAGUUGGUCCUUCAUAUCUGUGGUGCCACACCUCAGAUCUUGUAAUACUAUUGUUAUUUACUAUUGAUAAAAAAUUCACCCAUAAGUGUACUAGUACAGUUCAAACCCAUGUUGUUCAAGGGUCAACUCUAGAUAAGAAUGGUCAUGGGCCAGAGAUCAGCUAAGGGGUUUGAGCUAUUCUGUUCCCCACAGCAACUGUAAGGGUUGAAGUUAUCAAUAUGUCAUGCACAUCUGUAACUCAUUUGUGAUACUUCAUCUGGGAAGCUCUUUUCCAAAGGAUACAUUUUAGGAAGAAGUAAAAUGAUCUCAUAAGGAAUGUCUUAUGAUCUCAUAAGGAAUUCACAGGAGAAAUUUCUUUCUAUAAUAUAUAUACUCUGAGCCCCAGGCAGAGUUUCAGAAUGGCUAUCUAAAAAAAAAAAGUAUUAAACAGAAGGACGCUACCUGAUGACUUCUCACGGAGCCAAGCUCCAACUUCUCUUACCACAGUUACCUUCCAGCUAUACUUUUUCUGCUUCUGCAUUUGGAUUCCAGUGAGU
ensembl:lncRNA